rnacentral:sRNA from 1 species
AAUGUUAGGAGAGUGCGGCUGCAGGUGAUCUAGGACAUCAGCGCAAGAGUGAGUAGGAGGGGAAGAAGAUACAGGGAGAGGGUAGAAAACAAAAUAAUAUAGAGAUCAUGCCAAUGCCCCUUGUGCCCUUCCAGUCUGCAGCCCCUCUUUCCUGGAGUAAAUGAACUGGACCAAAUCUCAAAAAUCCACGAUGUUAUCGGCACACCUGCUCAGAAGACCCUCACCAAGUUCAAACAGGAUCAGGAAUACCUCUACUGACAACCAAUUUGUCCCCACAAUGCCUCUCCCUCUUGCACGCAAUGGUGGCCUACGAUCCCGAUGAGAGAAUCGCCGCCCACCAGGCCCUGCAGCACCCCUACUUCCAAGAACAGAGGAAAACAGAGAAGCGGGCUCUGGGCAGCCACAGAAAAGCUGUCUUUCCGGAGCACCCUGUGGCACCGGAACCACUCAGUAACAGCUGCCAGAUUUCCAAGGAGGGCAGAAAGCAGAAACAGUCCCUAGAGCAAGAGGAGGACCAUCCCAAGAGACAAGGACCAGCCUAUGUCAUGGAACUGCCCAAACUAAAGCUUUCGGGAGUGGUCAAACUGUCGUCUUACUCCAGCCCCACGCUGCAGUCCGUGCUUGGAUCUGGAACAAAUGGAAGAGUGCCGGUGCUGAGACCCUUGAAGUGCAUCCCUGCGAGCAAGAAGGUAGCGCGGAACCAGCUU